rnacentral:rRNA from 1 species
AAAUUGAAGAGUUUGAUCAUGGCUCAGAUUGAACGCUGGCGGCAGGCCUAACACAUGCAAGUCGAGCGGUAACACAGAGAGCUUGCUCUCGGGUGACGAGCGGCGGACGGGUGAGUAAUGUCUGGGAAACUGCCUGAUGGAGGGGGAUAACUACUGGAAACGGUAGCUAAUACCGCAUAACGUCGCAAGACCAAAGUGGGGGACCUUCGGGCCUCAUGCCAUCAGAUGUGCCCAGAUGGGAUUAGCUAGUAGGUGGGGUAACGGCUCACCUAGGCGACGAUCCCUAGCUGGUCUGAGAGGAUGACCAGCCACACUGGAACUGAGACACGGUCCAGACUCCUACGGGAGGCAGCAGUGGGGAAUAUUGCACAAUGGGCGCAAGCCUGAUGCAGCCAUGCCGCGUGUGUGAAGAAGGCCUUCGGGUUGUAAAGCACUUUCAGCGGGGAGGAAGGCGUUAAGGUUAAUAACCUUGGCGAUUGACGUUACCCGCAGAAGAAGCACCGGCUAACUCCGUGCCAGCAGCCGCGGU